CCGAAUUGCCGAAGUUUUUAAGCUCCGUCUCUCUCCUUUCCUCCAUCCCGUACCCCUCUCCUCUCUCUACAUGGCGGCGAUUAGGAGACUGGUUGGCCAAAGCAUCAGAGUAGGUCUUCUUCCUCCUGUUCUGUUCACAUGCUGUAGAGGCAUAACUACUAAGCUCUUCGUUGGAGGGUUAUCAUUUUACACCACGGAGGAUGGAUUAUCAGAAGCAUUUUCUCAGUGUGGUCAAGUCAUCGAAGCUAAAAUUGUGAUGGAUAGAGUCUCAGACAAAUCUAAAGGAUUUGGAUUCAUUACUUUUGCAUCCGAAGACGAAGCCCAAAAGGCAAUAACUGAGAUGAACGGAAAGGCUCUGAAUGGGCGCGUUAUUUUUGUGGAUAUUGCGAAGCCCAAAACAAGUUACGGUGGAAUGCCAAUAGCUAGAGGGCCUCCCGAGCCAACAUCUAGAGGGCCUCCUGAGCCAACAUCUGGCAGUUGAUUAGGAAAUACAGGUGCAUAUAUAGAAGAAGACUUGGAUUAUCGCAUGUUAUAUCUUGGUCAAGCUUGAUUAUUUUAUUUGUUGAUUUGAGCCUGAUGUUGAAGAGUUGUGUGUUAUUCCUUAUGAAUGCUGGAUGCUACUGUUAGAACUUAGAAUGACACCUUUUGCACCAGAACCAAGAGAGAAUUGAAUUUUAAAUCAGAAGACUCAGCAUGGGAGGUGCAGGGAAUGAGGCUGGCUAUGGAUGCUUCCUAUUGUUAUCGGUGCAAAUAUAUUAUAUUUGACAGGCAAGUCGCGAGUAACGAGUGAACCAUUCGUUAAAAAGCCCAGCUUGUUAUUAACAAGCGAGUGAGGCAUCAAGCCGGCUUGUAAACUCAUGGGCCUUGUUAUCUUUUCAUAUGAAGGGUCAUUAUGGCUGGCCUUGUUAGCUGAGUGUGUCUUGACUUGAGUGGGGGGAGCAGGACAUUGUGCUUUGGGGAACAAGGAAAUGCCCAUUACUGGAUUCAAUGUUGCUGGAGUUGUGUUCCAAGGGCAGCUUACUUUCUUAUUUGCUGACCAUAUGUCGCAAACUUGACCACAUUAUGCAGCCUGUGAACCAUGUAUAGAUUGCGUCUAACAAACUUGGUUGUGAUA